UACGGAGGGUGCAAGCGUUAUCCGGAUUCACUGGGUUUAAAGGGAGCGUAGGUGGGUUGGUAAGUCAGUGGUAAAAUCCCCGAGCUUAACUUGGGAACUGCCAUUGAUACUAUCAGUCUUGAAUACUGUGGAGGUUAGCGGAAUAUGUCAUGUAGCGGUGAAAUGCUUAGAUAUGACAUAGAACACCAAUUGCGAAGGCAGCUGGCUACACAAUUAUUGACACUGAGGCUCGAAAGCGUGGGGAUCAAACAGG
rnacentral:rRNA from 1 species